rnacentral:rRNA from 1 species
UACAGAGGUCUCAAGCGUUGUUCGGAUUCAUUGGGCGUAAAGGGUGCGUAGGCGGCGAGGUAAGUCGGAUGUGAAAUCCCGGGGCUCAACCCCGGAACUGCAUUCGAUACUGCUUUGCUUGAGUACUGGAGAGGAGACUGGAAUUUACGGUGUAGCAGUGAAAUGCGUAGAUAUCGUAAGGAAGACCAGUGGCGAAGGCGAGUCUCUGGACAGUUACUGACGCUGAGGCACGAAGGCCAGGGAGCAAACGGG